UCCCUUCCGUAAGCCGCGGAAGAAGGAGGAAGAGAACUACAACGAGUGCCUCACGAAGACCAGACAGGUCAUCGAGAGGACUUUCGGAAUCCUCAAGUCACGCUUCAGAUGCCUGGACAGGUCCGGAGGGGUCCUCCAGUACACCCCUAGUGUGUGCUGCCGCAUAAUUGUGGCCUGUGCAGUCCUGCACAAUUACUGCAUCCGCCACCAUGUUUCCCUCGCUGAACCACCCGUUCCAGAAUCUGAGGACGAGGAAGAGGAAGAAGACGACAGGCCAACCACUGCCCGAGACACGGCCACUGGCACCGCCGUCAGGAAUGAGCUUGUGAACAGCGUUUUCAAGUGAAACUUCAGGAAAACGAGAGUCUUCAGUGCAUUAAAGAAACAGUUUAUUGUUAUU